UGCUCCAGCAAAGAAAUUAAGGGAUGGAA
rnacentral:piRNA from 1 species